rnacentral:sRNA from 1 species
AAAAAAAAGAGAGGGA